rnacentral:rRNA from 1 species
GAGAAACGGCUACCACAUCCAAGGAAGGCAGCAGGCGCGCAAAUUACCCACUCCCGGCACGGGGAGGUAGUGACGAAAAAUAACGAUACGGGACUCAUCCGAGGCCCCGUAAUCGGAAUGAGCACACUCUAAAGACUUUAACGAGUAUCCAUUGGAGGGCAAGUCUGGUGCCAGCAGCCGCGGUAAUUCCAGCUCCAAUAGCGUAUAUUAAAGCUGUUGCGGUUAAAAAGCUCGUAGUCGGACUUGUGUCCCACGCUGCCGGUUCACCGCCCGUCGGUGUCUAACUGGCACGCACGUGCGGACGUCCUGCCGGUGGCCCGAGCCGGCGCCCGCGGGUGAGGGGGGCGGCAACGUCCCUCCACCCCGGGUCGUCUCGGGGAGGGCCUACACAAUCCCGUCGCGGUGCUCUUGACCGAGUGUCUCGAUGGGCCGGCACGUUUACUUUGAACAAAUUAGAGUGCUUAAAGCAGGCAGCAGCCGCCUGAAUACCGAGUGCAUGGAAUAAUGGAAUAGGACCUCGGUUCUAUUUUGUUGGUUUUCGGAAGCCCCGAGGUAAUGAUCAAAAGGGACAGACGGGGGCAUUCGUAUUGCGACGUUAGAGGUGAAAUUCUUGGAUCGUCGC